GUCCACGCCGUAAACGAUGGGUGCUAGGUGUGGGGUGUCGACUCCCUCCGUGCCGAAGCUAACGCAUUAAGCACCCCGCCUGGGGAGUACGGCCGCAAGGCUAAAACUCAAAGGAAUUGACGGGGCCCGCACAAGCAGCGGAGCAUGUGGUUUAAUUCGACGCGACGCGAAGAACCUUACCAAGGCUCACAUAUACGGGAAUGUCGGAGAAAUUCGGCAGCCCUUCAGGGCUCGUAUACAGGUGGUGCAUGGCUGUCGU
rnacentral:rRNA from 1 species